UGUGAGGGUGAUCUGCUUUCAGAAUUCUGUCUCUGUUGGCCAGGAUUGAUGCAACUGAGCUGGCUGGCUGGGCAGGUGGCCCCUUCCUUCCUCACCUGAAGCUUUGUACCUAGUCAAAGGAAGCAGGGAGUGAAGGACCACCUGCCCGAGUUGGGUGUGUGGGAAAGUGUGCUUUUCUACGAGUCCUUCCAAACGAUCCCUCAAGGUCCAAGGGGAAGCUCGGGGGUGUUGGUGAGGGUUCAAUGACAUCAUGGAUAUAAAACACUUUGUAAACUCUA
rnacentral:snRNA from 1 species